rnacentral:rRNA from 1 species
UACGGAGGGGACUAGCGUUGUUCGGAAUUACUGGGCGUAAAGCGCACGUAGGCGGCUUUGUAAGUUAGAGGUGAAAGCCCAGGGCUUAACCCUGGAAUUGCCUUUAAGACUGCAUCGCUAGAAUCGUGGAGAGGUGAGUGGAAUUCCGAGUGUAGAGGUGAAAUUCGUAGAUAUUCGGAAGAACACCAGUGGCGAAGGCGACUCACAGGACACGUAUUGACGCUGAGGUGCGAAAGCGUGGGGAGCAAACAGG